rnacentral:rRNA from 1 species
UACAGGGGGUGCAAACGUUGCUCGGAAUUAUUGGGCGUAAAGCGCGCGUAGGCGGCUACUUAAGUCGGAUGUGAAAGCCCUUGGCUCAACUGAGGAAGUGCACCCGAAACUGAGUGGCUAGAGUACGAAAGAGGGUCGCGGAAUUCCCGGUGUAGAGGUGAAAUUCGUAGAUAUCGGGAGGAACACCGGUGGCGAAGGCGGCAUCCUGGACCGAUACUGACGCUGAGGAGCGAAAGCCAGGGGAGCAAACGGG